AUGAGUCAGUACAUGGAAGCGAAUCAGUGAAUCGGUUCUUGGAUUCAAAAACACGUUGGCUUACGAAGCAAACAAACAUUUUCUUGCUAACCACAGUCAGCCAGCAGGUCAACAUUACCUACAACUGUCCCAAGGACGGCCCACAGCUCUUCAUGUGGCAUUAUCUCUGCUUUCCUUCUGGAGUGGGGGCCUUAUGUUUACAGAAGAGGCCCAAGAUGUUCCCGUGCCUUGCCUAAGGCUGUUGAUUCAAAUCCAAAUACCAUACUUCAGAUACUUGUGCCGUUAUAUCAUACAGCUAGUCUGUGUUGUGCAUCUGUUGAAGCAAGCUGGCGGAAUAGUGUAUGCCACCUUACAUAAAGGAUCCUUCAAAUUCACAAGCAGUCAACAACGACACAUGAGUGCAGCUGUGAUGAGAGAGAAUGCCAGGUUCAUUCACUAACUGUAAAUAUGCAGCAUCACUCAGUUAAUUCGAAUAUGUGAACUUUUACUCAUGCUCAUGUCAUUCCAAACCUGUUUGACAUUCUUUCUUACGUGGGACACCAAAGGAAAUGUUUAGUAGAAAGUCCGAGCUGCUCUUUUCCAUGCACUGAGAAGUGAAUGGUGACCAAGAGCUGUCAAGCUCUGAAACAGACAAAAACACAAUGUAAAGCACCCUAAAAAUAAUUAGUAAAAAAGUUUGAUGUAGAAACAGCUUUCACUCAGAAAUUGCUUGUAAAUUUCACUAAUAAUUACAAAGAAACGGCAUUGAAUUAAAAAUGUAAAUUUUAAGUAGAAAUAGUAUUUUCUUAUAAAACAUACCCCAAUAAUCUUUGAUUUAUUUAUAACGUUGAUUUUUUACAGUUAUGACUCUUUCUGAAGUAUUUUUUGUGAGUAGAUGAUGAUGUAGUUUUCCAUUAAUGUUAUUUAGUGUUUCAGUUCAGGCAAAACUACAAAAGGCUAGUGAAAGCUUGAUGGUUGAAGAUCUGACCUGCUUACUCAAAGGUUGUAGGUUCAAAACCCGCAAGGUGCGAUGGAUGAACCAAGAGUUAUGGCGAUCACCUUUAGCCACUGUGUCCUUGAGCAAAAUGCGUAACCCUUACUUUAUUCUGGGGAUUUUUUCCUGUUCUAAGCAUGCUGGUAGUUCCUCUAGAUAAGAAGGUGUCUGCCUAAUGACAAAUGGACUUUUAAGUACAUUAGGUCCCUAUGUCAAGCCUGGUGGAAAUCUCUUCAGAUGUGUUGAGGAAGAGCUGUCACCGUUCAGUCCCUCCAGCACAUCCACCAUGCACGACAGCAUUUUCUUGGUGUCUUUUCCUGCCAGUCGAGAGGAUGGAAUUGGUUUCGGCACCUGCAACUCAUAUACAGUAUCUAUGAGAAAAGACACUGUAUUUUGGUUCUGGAGGUUUAUUUAAUCAAAUUUUAAAGUUCAUAAAGUUUUUUUUUUUUUAAUUAAUACUUUUUUUCUCUACAUAAUUGUAC
ensembl:lncRNA